GCUACCUCGCGGCCAGCAGCGGCGGGACGACGGUGGUGGCAAGCGUUGUGCGGAGUUAAUGGGCGUAAGGGGCGUGCAGGCGGUAGUGCAAGUCGCGGGUGAAAGACCCCGGCUCAACUGGGGAGGGUCACGCGAUACUGAUCGACUCGAAGGCAGGAGAGGGAAGUGGAAUUCCCGGUGUAGUGGUGAAAUGCGUAGAUAUCGGGAGGAACACCAGUGGCGAAGGCGACUUCCUGGCCUGUUCUUGACGCUGAGGCGCGAAAGCUAGGGGAGCAAACGGGAUUAGAUACCCGAGUAGUC
rnacentral:rRNA from 1 species